ncrna:unclassified sequences L2-Alphaproteobacteria ribosomal protein leader
GGGGACCUUCGGGGCCCUUAACCCGGGUCGCAAGGCCCGAUAGCUAACGGAAGACAGAGA